rnacentral:rRNA from 1 species
CCUACGGGAGGCUGCAGUGGGGAAUAUUGGACAAUGGGGGCAACCCUGAUCCAGCCAUGCCGCGUGUGUGAAGAAGGCCCUCGGGUUGUAAAGCACUUUCAGUGAGGAAGAACGCCUGGUGGUUAAUACCCAUCAGGAAAGACAUCACUCACAGAAGAAGCACCGGCUAACUCCGUGCCAGCAGCCGCGGUAAUACGGAGGGUGCGAGCGUUAAUCGGAAUUACUGGGCGUAAAGCGCGCGUAGGUGGCUUGAUAAGCCGGUUGUGAAAGCCCCGGGCUCAACCUGGGAACGGCAUCCGGAACUGUCAAGCUAGAGUGCAGGAGAGGAAGGUAGAAUUCCCGGUGUAGCGGUGAAAUGCGUAGAGAUCGGGAGGAAUACCAGUGGAGAAGGCGGCCUUCUGGACUGACACUGACACUGAGGUGCGAAAGCGUGGGUAGCAAACAGGAUUAGAUACCCCUGUAGUC